ACCGAGCUUGGGCAUACCCUAAGGUGGCAAAAAUUCCCAUAUAUUUUGGGCAUCACACAUUCAUUGACUUCGAUCUUCCGUCAGAAUUUUGUGUGCCUUUCAGGAAUCCGAAUAGAAAAUUCAGUUUGUUUCACACUUCCGAGGAUACAGUUUCGAACAAAAAUAACAAAAAAAUUCCGGGUUUGCUUUAAAAAUUCGGCAGUUUUUUACUUCAGUUGGACCCAGGGACGCUUUUAUAUCGUAGAUGGCCAUGGCCCUUGGUCCUGUGCCCCCUUCAAUCAUCGUUGGAGGGGAUAGUUCCAACCCUUACUUCAGUUGGACCCAGCGACACUUUUAUUUCGUAGAUGUCCAUCGUCAUCGUCAUCGCCACUUGGUCUUGUGCCGCCUUCAAUCAUCGUUGGAUGGAACAGUGCUGUGCUGUUCUGUCAAAACUCUUUAACAGAUCUUCCUCGUCUGUGAACUACACUCCUAUUAUAUCCGAGAGCCUAAUAUAUAUUUUUAUACCUUCAAUAAAUAUAUUUUGUAAAAAAA